rnacentral:rRNA from 1 species
CCUACGGGUGUCAGCAGUGAGGAAUAUUGGUCAAUGGGCGCAAGCCUGAACCAGCCAUGUCGCGUGAAGGAUGACUGCUCUAUGGGUUGUAAACUUCUUUUAUAAAGGGAUAAAGUGAGGUACGUGUACCUUUUUGUAUGUACUUUAUGAAUAAGGAUCGGCUAACUCCGUGCCAGCAGCCGCGGUAAUACGGAGGAUCCGAGCGUUAUCCGGAUUUAUUGGGUUUAAAGGGUGCGUAGAUGGGUUGUUAAGUCAGUGGUGAAAGUUUGUGGCUCAACCGUAGAAUUGCCAUUGAUACUGGCAGCCUAGAGUACAGUUGAGGUAGGCGGAAUUCGUGGUGUAGCGGUGAAAUGCUUAGAUAUCACGCAGAACACCGAUUGCGAAGGCAGCCUACCAAGCUACUACUGACGUUGAUGCACGAAAGUGUGGGUAUCAAACAGGAUUAGAUACCCGAGUAGUC